CGGGGGGCGGGCUAUACAUGCAAGUCGAGCGAAUGGAUUAAGAGCUUGCUCUUAUGAAGUUAGCGGCGGACGGGUGAGUAACACGUGGGUAACCUGCCCAUAAGACUGGGAUAACUCCGGGAAACCGGGGCUAAUACCGGAUAACAUUUUGAACUGCAUGGUUCGAAAUUGAAAGGCGGCUUCGGCUGUCACUUAUGGAUGGACCCGCGUCGCAUUAGCUAGUUGGUGAGGUAACGGCUCACCAAGGCAACGAUGCGUAGCCGACCUGAGAGGGUGAUCGGCCACACUGGGACUGAGACACGGCCCAGACUCCUACGGGAGGCAGCAGUAGGGAAUCUUCCGCAAUGGACGAAAGUCUGACGGAGCAACGCCGCGUGAGUGAUGAAGGCUUUCGGGUCGUAAAACUCUGUUGUUAGGGAAGAACAAGUGCUAGUUGAAUAAGCUGGCACCUUGACGGUACCUAACCAGAAAGCCACGGCUAACUACGUGCCAGCAGCCGCGGUAAUACGUAGGUGGCAAGCGUUAUCCGGAAUUAUUGGGCGUAAAGCGCGCGCAGGUGGUUUCUUAAGUCUGAUGUGAAAGCCCACGGCUCAACCGUGGAGGGUCAUUGGAAACUGGGAGACUUGAGUGCAGAAGAGGAAAGUGGAAUUCCAUGUGUAGCGGUGAAAUGCGUAGAGAUAUGGAGGAACACCAGUGGCGAAGGCGACUUU
rnacentral:rRNA from 1 species